rnacentral:tRNA from 3 species
AAUAAGAUAAGCUAAGCCUAAGCUAAUGGGUUCAUGCCCCAAAAAUGAUUUAUUCUCUUAUUA